AGAAACAUGUCUGAAAAUAGAAUUACUUUGAUAGAGUAAAAAAUAGAGGUGCAAGUCCUCUUGUUUCUA
rnacentral:tRNA from 1 species